AUCGCUUCUCGGCCUUUUGGCUAAGAUCAAGUGUAGUAUUCUUCAAAUCUUCAAAGUAUAAUUCAUGGCCCAGUGACAACAGAAUAACCUGAGGUGCUCACUAAAGUGCAGACUCUCAGCCCAGGAGAUGGCACAGUGGUUGAAGUGUCAAACUCUUUUUUUUUUUAACCAGAGCACU
rnacentral:snRNA from 1 species